CCCUCUGUGUUGCCGUGAUAGCCCAGCCGGCCGAAGCAGCCAGCGCCUGCAGAAGAAGAAAGCCAGGAAAAAAAGGAAGAAAGAGAAGAAAAGAAAAGAGAGAAAAGAAAAGAAAAGAAGAAAAGAAAAGAAAAAAAAGAAAAGAGAAAAAAAAAGAAGGAAAAGUUGGAAAUUUUGGAAUUUCAUCGGAUUCAUUGUCAAACUUUCGAAGGCGAAUUCUCGGUGGUACUAUUUCCGGACGUUCUUGAUCGAAUUUUCUUCAUCGUCGGUAAAGGCAAGUGAAUGUAUUGUAUGACUAUGCUUUAACCUAAUAUUGGGUUGCCUACAUUCUUUAAUUACAGUGCAUUCAUCUAAUCUGAAUGAAUGAUUCUGGGCUGAGUACUAUGUUGUUUACGUUUCCAGAAGUUUACUCGAUGAUUGAUUUAUGAAGUGCAGUAGGCACGAUAUGCCAUUCUGCAGUUGUUCAUUAGUGUUGUAUGCAAUGUUUUUUUUUAAGUCUCAAGCAUAUUCCGGAAGUUAUGUUGGUUAUGCUUGAAGCACGUCAUACAUAUACAUCUCAUGCAUUGGAAGUUUGUCGUCGUCUUCUGGCCGCGACCGUACCGGUACAGUACCGUAUGUCACCCAAGGAGGGGUACGGUGCACACCCUUACGUUACCCGAGGAGGGGUAAGGGUGAGAAGAGCAUGUCAUGUGCAUGGUUAUGUCUUCUUGUGAAAUUCAAUGAAUUAUUCAUAUCAAAUCUUAUUUCAUUUAGUUAGCGUGUAUAUAGAUAUAUAUGCGGCUCUGAAGGCUUAUACCAACCGAAUGUUAAAAUGUUUAAUGUUAUCGUUGGACUUGCUUAGUCAUAACUGUUUCUCCUAGUGUUGGCGGUCUGUUUCAUUACUAGUUUCUAUUUAGAAUUGUUAGCACAUUCAACUGUGGCUAAAUAGCUUUUUGUUAAAAUACCUUUCACUUGCUGAGAUUUUCGAAUUUCACCCGUGUUUUCUUUGCAGGUAUGUUUAGAUGUUGACGUGCAUUUUGGGGAUGUAUCUCAGUAGCUGCACACACAAACUUAUCACGAUGUCGAUAGCUCAACCGGUGUAUACAAAUGGUGUGUCUGAUGGUCUGUUGUUUGCUUUUGUUUAUGUUGUGGUACGACGCUGGUAGCGUCGUGGCGAACUCUAUAUAUGCUGGUUAUAUCUGAUUCUGUCUGCCUGAGAUUUCUCUUUUGGUCAGUUAUACCUCUCUAUAGAGGAAA